rnacentral:rRNA from 1 species
AGGGAGCAAGCGUUAUCCGGAUUUACUGGGUGUAAAGGGCGUGUAGGCGGAUGAACAAGUCAGAUGUGAAAUCUGGGGGCUUAACCCCCAAACUGCAUUUGAAACUGCUCAUCUUGAGUGAUGGAGAGGCAGGCGGAAUUCCUAGUGUAGCGGUGAAAUGCGUAGAUAUUAGGAGGAACACCAGUGGCGAAGGCGGCCUGCUGGACAUUAACUGACGCUGAUGCUCGAAAGUGCGGGUAUCA